rnacentral:rRNA from 1 species
UACGAAGGGGGCUAGCGUUGCUCGGAAUCACUGGGCGUAAAGCGCACGUAGGCGGCUUACUAAGUCAGGGGCGAAAUCCUGGAGCUCAACUCCAGAACUGCCUUUGAUACUGGUGAGCUUGAGUCCGGAAGAGGUGAGUGGAACUGCGAGUGUAGAGGUGAAAUUCGUAGAUAUUCGCAAGAACACCAGUGGCGAAGGCGGCUCACUGGCCCGAUACUGACGCUGAGGCACGAAAGCGUGGGGAGGCAAA